rnacentral:lncRNA from 1 species
CGUGACCAAAACUGACCAAUGAGGGGGCGCUGCGUACGGAUAGACUGCCUGCAUUGAUAUUGAUAUAUAUUUAUUUUUUAUUUUUUUAGACCCAAAUAAUUCAUUUUUUAUUGAAAAAUAACAACUGUUGUCUUUCGCUCUGAGCUUUAUUUUCCCUCGUUUUUGACUGAAAGGCGGGUGCGUCGGGUUUUCUCCGUAAAACACCGAAGCUCUACGAUCUUUGCCGAUGUGCUCCGGCCGCUUCCCUGUUUGUGCAGCGCGUCCCACCAUCACCACCAUCAUCACCAUCACCGGCCAUCGCUGACGGUGCUUCAUCAUGUUGGACAUACUGGUGUUGAUGUUCUUUGCCGUCAUGGGCCUGGUCUUCCUCUCCUACAUCAUCUACAUGCUGUGACCAUGUGGACCAGAGACCUCCUGCAUCCGUCCAUGAACAGCCACAGGAUGAGGAUCUCCAUCAGGUCUUGGUCUGAUCCCUGAUGUGGUGCUCAGACGGGAUGUGGUCUGGGAUCUAGUCCAGGGGAGAAGCACAUCACAUGAAGAGGAUGAUGAGCCAUAAUUCUCCUCCUGUUGUCGUUUCCCCUCCUCUUUUUUAUUUAUUUUAUUAUUUAUUUAUUUAUUUUUUGCGUCGGACCAAUCCAAUAACACCUCUCACUUCCUCCUGUGCCAUCAGUCGUACCUCUGGAUUUUCUAGUCCUCUAGUCAUUAGGUGAUUCUCACCUCUGUACAAGUCUAAGAGAUAUACAUAGGGUCACAUGGUGAAACACUUUGGAUUUGGCCUUUUUGUGGGCUAUUUAGUGCUGUUGCACUUGUUUUUUUUGUUUGUUUUUUUUUCUAUCGUUUGCAUUUUAUGAGGUAUAAUAUGACAUCCAAAGUGGGAUCAAAUCCACUGGUUGUGUUUAUUAUUAUUAUUUUUAUUAUUAUUAUUAUUAGUCUUUUAUUAGAAGAUUCAGGUCAGGCCGAACUUUUUUUUUUUUUUUUUUUGAAAAAAGAAACACCCUGGAUGGUUGCAGUGUAACAAAUACCUGUAAAGAGCUUCUUCUUCUUUUUUUUAAAAAAUUAUUUAUUUAAUAGAAAUAUAAUCAAAAGCACUUUUCUCAUCUUAUCUUCUUUGCACUCAAAUCAACUCAAAGAUCAAUAUAUCAGCAUGGAGCCUAUGUUGUAAUGUUGUAAUGUUUCAUAUCAUUUGCACUGAAUUUUGUUCUUGCUUUUAUCCUCGUUCUUUGUGGGACACGUUUUUGCCUCAAUUUUUCCACAGUUUUGUUUUGUUUAUUUAGAAGAAGAAGAAAAAAAUGACAAGUGUUGCACAAGAAGUUUCCUUCAUUACACGAGAUUUGCCAAAUAAAUAUGAUUCUGAUCAACUCA